UACAGAGGGUGCAAGCGUUAAUCGGAAUUACUGGGCGUAAAGCGAGCGUAGGCGGCCCGUUAAGACAGGUGUGAAAUCCCUGGGCUCAACCUAGGAAUUGCGCUUGUGACUGGCGGGCUCGAGUACGGUAGAGGGGGGUGGAAUUCCUGGUGUAGCAGUGAAAUGCGUAGAGAUCAGGAGGAACACCGAUGGCGAAGGCAGCCCCCUGGGCCUGUACUGACGCUCAUGCACGAAAGCGUGGGGAGCAAACAGG
rnacentral:rRNA from 1 species